rnacentral:RNase_P_RNA from 2 species
GAAGCUGGCCAGACAGUCGCCGCGCACGCAAGUGCGGGGAGGAAAGUCCGGGCUCCAUAGAGCAGAAUGCCGGUUAACGACCGGACACCGUGAGGUGAUGAACAGUGCCACAGAAAAUAAACUGCCCAAGUACCGCAAGCCCCCGCAAGGGGGGCGCCGAAUGACACUCGCCGCAAGGCGGCGGUCAUAACGCAGGUAACGGCGAGGGUGAAACGGCGGGGUAAGAGCCCACCGCGGACGUGGUAACACGGACGGCACGGUAAACUCCAUUCGGAGCAAGACCAAAUAAGCAGGCCAUGACGUUGCUCGCGUCGCUUGCGGGUAGGUUGCUUGAGCGUCAGGUAACGAAACGCCUAGAGGAAUGACUGUCCACGACAGAACCCGGCUUACCGGCUGGCUUCACCU